rnacentral:tRNA from 1 species
GUGGGGCUGUAGCUCAGUGGUAGAGUGCUUGCCUAGCAUGUGUGAGGCACUGGGUUCGAUUCUCAGCACCACA